GGAGGGAGCUGCCGAAGGCGGGACUGAUAACUGGGGUGAAGUCGUAACAAGGUAGCCGUAUCGGAAGGUGCGGCUGGAUCACCUCCUUUCUAAGGAA
rnacentral:rRNA from 1 species